GCAGCUUCUCAUUUGUGAAUGGGGAGCUACUGACUGGCUGAGAGCAUCCGCUGAUGCUCUCAGACAAUAAGUGGCGCCCCUGGCCUUGGUUUUCUCUUUUAAAAUCCUCAUCAGUGGGAAGACAGAGGGUAGAGUGACCAGGCGCUCGAUUCAGAACUUUGGGGUUAAACUGUUUGUGAACGGUUUAAAGCCUAAAGGUAAGCCAGCACCAGUCACCUUCUGGCACCAUAACAACUUA